AGAGAUUAUACCCAACUGUUUGGCUUAAUGGGCUGAUUGUAACAACUAAUAUCCUAUAACGGCCAAAUGACUCAAUCUACAUCAAAGAUUAUUGGACAGAGUGAAAACCAUGGCAGCAGGAAAUGCCACGAGUUGCUUAUAAAGAGAACCCAUCUAAGAUUUCACUGUAACUUGAGAACAGCUAAGCUGAUUCCCUCAGCUUGAGCCAAAGAGGAGUACGGAAAUCCCUCUCAAAUAUUUAAACACACAACAAUGAAGACUUGUUACCUUCUUGUUCUUCUAUCUGCUUUGACUCUUCUUCCUGAGGAAGCAAUGAGUGACGGUCCAUGUAUUAGCUUGGGUAUACCUCUCUUCAAUCUUGAUUUAAACUUUGGAAACUCAAACUGUGGACGUGGAAGGGUAAUGU
rnacentral:lncRNA from 11 species